rnacentral:ncRNA from 2 species
CGGUGAGGUAGAGGUCGCGACUUUUAAUAGUAGGACGGACGAGGUGCAAAGAACACCGAAGACUCCGUUUGAAAGGAAUAGUCGCCGAAGUCAAAUCAUUUUCUUUGAAUUAUUUGGCUGGGGCUGUCUCCAAAUAGGAACAGAACUGUCACGUUUGUUCUUACCAGACAAACGUGUUGUGCUAUCUUUCGG